rfam:Peptococcaceae bacterium BRH_c4b BRHa_1001649, whole genome shotgun sequence.
GCGAGCGGAGUGCGAAGGAAACUCGCACGCUCCGUUCUGAGAGGGGUGAUUGGAAAAGUGCUGUCUUAGGAUAGUAACUUAGGAUAGUAACUCGCUGGUCGCCUACUCUAC